rnacentral:lncRNA from 1 species
AAGUGAACUCAAUUGUUGUAGCAACUGUAGUCAUUAUUAAAAAUCAAAAUUAUCGCCACCAAAUGACGGCAUAGUAGGUUCCACUAUAUGGGGUGGCCAAUCACAUCAACUUUUGAAAGCAGCAGUAUUUACAUUUUGGAUGUGUUCGGUACGAAGGAAUUCUAAAAAUAUAAUCUGAACCUCAAAUGUAGAAGUUUUUUUUUCAAGUUUUCAAACACAACACCAAGUUCUUUCUUCUCUUACUAAUAUUCAAUAAUCAGCCUAAGAAUUAUCUUUCUAAUCAUAAUUCUCGAGAGGCUUCUUUUUAGUAGAAUUUAAUUAGCUGUGAGUCCCGC